GACGAACGCUGGCGGCGUGCUUAACACAUGCAAGUCGAACGGAAAGGCCCUGCUUUUGUGGGGUGCUCGAGUGGCGAAAGGGUGAGUAACACGUGAGUAACCUGCCCUUGACUUUGGUAUAACUUCAGGAAACUGGGGCUAAUACCGGAUAGGAGCUCCUGCUGCAUGGUGGGGGUUGGAAAGUUUCGGCGGUUGGGGAUGGACUCGCGGCUUAUCAGCUUGUUGGUGGGGUAGUGGCUUACCAAGGCUUUGACGGGUAGCCGGCCUGAGAGGGUGACCGGCCACAUUGGGACUGAGAUACGGCCCAGACUCCUACGGGAGGCAGCAGUGGGGAAUAUUGCACAAUGGGCGGAAGCCUGAUGCAGCAACGCCGCGUGCGGGAUGACGGCCUUCGGGUUGUAAACCGCUUUCGCCUGUGACGAAGCGUGAGUGACGGUAAUGGGUAAAGAAGCACCGGCUAACUACGUG
rnacentral:rRNA from 1 species